UUGAACGCUGGCGGCAGGCCUAACACAUGCAAGUCGAGCGGAUGAAGGGAGCUUGCUCCUGGAUUCAGCGGCGGACGGGUGAGUAAUGCCUAGGAAUCUGCCUGGUAGUGGGGGAUAACGUCCGGAAACGGGCGCUAAUACCGCAUACGUCCUGAGGAAGAAAGUGGGGGAUCUUCGGACCUCACGCUAUCAGAUGAGCCUAGGUCGGAUUAGCUAGUUGGUGGGGUAAAGGCCUACCAAGGCGACGAUCCGUAACUGGUCUGAGAGGAUGAUCAGUCACACUGGAACUGAGACACGGUCCAGACUCCUACGGGAGGCAGCAGUGGGGAAUAUUGGACAAUGGGCGAAAGCCUGAUCCAGCCAUGCCGCGUGUGUGAAGAAGGUCUUCGGAUUGUAAAGCACUUUAAGUUGGGAGGAAGGGCAGUAAGUUAAUACCUUGCUGUUUUGACGUUACCAACAGAAUAAGCACCGGCUAACUUCGUG
rnacentral:rRNA from 1 species